ACACCGUUUGGUGGAUGGCUUGGCUUGAGAAACCGAGGAAGGUCGUGGCAAGCUGCGAUAUGCUCAGGGGAGGCGCACGCAUCCUUUGAUCCUGAGAUUACCUAAUGGGACUUCCUUCAUUCUUCGGAAUGACAUCACUUCGUGAUGGGGAACCCGGUGAACUGAAACAUCUUAGUAACCGGAGGAAAAGAUAUCAAUUGAUAUGCCGUGAGUAAUGGCGAACGAAAGCGGUAUAGGGCAAACCGAAUCCGUGCAGGUGACUGCAUGGAGAUGUGGCUGACUAGUGUACUAGUCUAAAAGUUUUGGCGAAGUUUUUUGGAACAUUAUGCCAAAGAGGGUGAUAGCCCCGUAGUUAAAACUUGAAGAGUAGAUUGCUAGCAUCGAGAGUAGCGUGUUUUGAAAGUAGCGCGUGAAUACAGGGGACAGUAACCUCUAACCCUAAACAUUUCUUAAGACCGAUAGCGAAUUAGUAGCGUGAGUGAAUGCUGAAAAGAUCCCGUACAAGGGAGUGAAAAGAUCCUAAAACCAAGCGGUUACAGUUUGUAGCGGCACUAAGGUGUUGCUACGUUCGUUUUGAAAAAUGAGUCAGCGAGUUCAUUUUUGUGGCGAGGUUAAGCCUUUUAGGUGGAGCCAAAGGGAAACCGAGUGUGAAAGCGCGAUUUAGUCAUAAGGAUGAGACCUGAAGCCCGUCGAGCUAUGCCUGGGCACGGUGAAGUGGCAGUAAAAUGUCGUGGAGGCCGGAAGAGUUGCUACGAGCAAGUGCUCUUAUGACCUGGGUAUAGGAGUGAAAUGCCAAUCGAGAUAGGCGAUAGCUGGUUCCCGCAGAAAUAAGCCGUAGUUUAGUCUGAGUGGAGCAUUCUAUCAGGGUAGAGUACAAAUUGUGCAGUUUGGGGGAGCAAUCCCUCGCUGUAUUGUUUAACUCCGAAUCUAAUAGAUGUGAAGAAGCUCGGAAAAAGUGGGUCGGGUUAAGCCUGAUUCACGAGAGGGGAACAACCCAGAGGGUAGUUAAGGCCCCAAAAUUCUAGUUAAGUGUACUUAAGGUUUUUUGGUCGAAGACACUGAGGAGGUUGGCUUAGAAGCAGCCAUCCUCUAAGGAAAGCGUAACAGCUCACUCAGCGAGAUCUUAGGGACCGUAAAUGGACGGGACUAAAACUAGAUGCCGAUACUGCCCCCCGCUGCGUCAAGCAGCGCCGGAGUAUGCGGGCGGUUUGCAUGGGUAGAAGUGUGUUUGUGAAGAUACAUGGACCGUGUAAUCAUGUGAAUGCUGACAGAAGUAGUAUCUAAGUGAGGUGAGAAUCCUCAUCGUCGAAAGGGCAAGGGUUCCUUGGCGCUAGUCGUUAGCCAAGGGUUAGUCGGUCCUAAGUCUGAAUCCUAACCGAUUUAGACGAAAGGGAAACUGGUUAAUAUUCCAGUACCACAUAAAGGCGUUCGGUAACGAAUGUCUAAUAUGACGCUUUAGGAUAUAUAGAGUAGACUUGUCUGUCUAUCUAAGCGUAUAAGACCAGGGAGUUGUGUCAUGCAGAGAACUGGUUGAAAGCGUGAUGGAUCGCAAGAUUCUAUAGACUUCUAGAGUCCAUGAAAAACUAUUAGAAAGUGUUUAUGUGUCCGUACCCACAACCGGCACAGGUGCCCAGGCUGAGCAAGCCAAGACGUGUGAGACUAAUCGACUCUAGGGAAUUCGGCAAAAUAGCCCUCUGACUUCGGUUGAAGGGGUCCCAGCGGUUGUAACGUAUGUUGCGAUUGCUGGGCUAAGAUAUUAGGUCGGUCCGACUGUUUAAUAAAAACGUAGCCAACUGCUAGACGGGAACGUUGUGUAUAGUUGGUGACUUCUGCCCAGUGCUAGUAUCUGAAAGCGGUUUUCAAGCUGCCUAAGGACUGGUAAACGGCGGGGGUAACUAUGACCCUCUUAAGGUAGCGAAAUACCUUGGCCAUUAAAUGUGGUCGUGCAUGAACGGAGUAACGAGACCGACACUGUCCCAGAGUUGAACCUCAUGAACUUACUUUUCUGGGGAAUGGGCCAGAGACUUCCAUUGGGACGAUAAGACCCCGUAGAGCUUUACUAUAGCUUGUAGCUGUUAUAUUGCUGUGUUUGCACAGUGUAUAGGGGAGGCUUCGAAGCAUUGUUUCCGGACGAUGUGGAGCCGACGAUGUAACACCCUACAGACAUAUUGAUAUGACUUACCUGAAAGGGAACACCUAUAGGCGGAUAGUUUGAGUGGGGCGCUACCCUCCUGAAAAGGUAUCAGGAGGAACCUAAGGUCAGCUCAGCCUGGUUGGAAACCAGGUGUAGAGUUUAAGAGCAAAAGCUGGCUUGACUGAGAUCUGCAAAGCAAAGGUUUCAGACGCGAAAGCGAGGUCUAGAGAACCCCUAUGUCCCUCUUACUGAGGGCUAGGAUUGAUAGAAAAGCUACCUCGGGGAUAAUUGAGUGGUGCCGUGCUAGAGUACAUAUCGACCACGGCGCUUGCGACUUCGUUGUCGGCUCUGCUUAUCCUGGCUGUGCAACAGCAGCCAAGGGUGCGGGAGUUCACCGAUUAAAAAGCACCGUGAGCUGGGUUGAGAACGCUGUGAAGCAGUUUGUUUUAUAUCUAAUGGAAGUGUUGGGAGUCUGAGGAGAAGCUGUCUCUAGUACGAAAGGAACGAGAUGUCCGAGCCUCUGGUGUAUCUGUUGUCCGACAGGGCAGGCAGAGCAGCUACGCUCGAAGUGGAUAACUUCUGAAAGCAUCUAAGAAGGAAGCCACCUGUGAAAAGAGACUCUCUAGGCACUUGUAAAAGACAAGUUUGAUAGGACUGGGAUGUACGCAUUAAGGCAACGAGAUGUUUAGUCCGCAGUUACUAAUAGCCUUAAAGUUUAUCUU
rnacentral:rRNA from 1 species